UACGUAGGGUGCGAGCGUUGUCCGGAAUUAUUGGGCGUAAAGAGCUCGUAGGCGGCUUGUUGCGUCGACUGUGAAAACCCGCGGCUUAACUGCGGGCUUGCAGUUGAUACGGGCAGGCUAGAGUUCGGUAGGGGAGACUGGAAUUCCUGGUGUAGCGGUGAAAUGCGCAGAUAUCAGGAGGAACACCGGUGGCGAAGGCGGGUCUCUGGGCCGAUACUGACGCUGAGGAGCGAAAGCGUGGGGAGCGAACAGGA
rnacentral:rRNA from 1 species